CAGUAGCUCAGUGGAUAACGCAAUGGCGUUUGAAGCGAACGGUACUGGGUUCGAGUCCCAGAAUGAA
rnacentral:tRNA from 1 species